rnacentral:ncRNA from 2 species
UAAAAUCUUCAGGGCAGGGUGAAAUUCCCGACCGGCGGUUAGAGUCCGCGACUCAACAUAAUGUUGAUUGAUCUGGUGAAAUUCCAGUACCGACAGUAAAGUCUGGAUGGAAGAAGAGCAAG